rnacentral:rRNA from 1 species
UACGGUGAAUACGUUCCCGGACCUUGUACACACCGCCCGUCAAGCCAUGGAAGCUGGGUGUACCUAAAGUCGGUAACCGCAAGGAGCCGCCUAGGGUAAACUAGUAACUGGGGCUUA